rnacentral:rRNA from 1 species
GAUGAACGCUGGCGGCGUGCCUAAUACAUGCAAGUCGAGCGAACAGACGAGGAGCUUGCUCCUCUGACGUUAGCGGCGGACGGGUGAGUAACACGUGGAUAACCUACCUAUAAGACUGGGAUAACUUCGGGAAACCGGAGCUAAUACCGGAUAAUAUAUUGAACCGCAUGGUUCAAUAGUGAAAGACGGUUUUGCUGUCACUUAUAGAUGGAUCCGCGCCGCAUUAGCUAGUUGGUAAGGUAACGGCUUACCAAGGCAACGAUGCGUAGCCGACCUAGGAGGGUGAUCGCCCACACUGGAACUGAGACAGGGUCCAGACUCCUACGGGAGGCAGCAGUAGGGAAUCUUCCGCAAUGGGCGAAAGCCUGACGGAGCAACGCGGCGUGAGUGAUGAAGGUGUCCGGAUCGUAAAACUCUGUUAUUAGGGAAGAACAAAUGUGUAAGUAACUAUGCACGUAUUGACGGUACCUAAUCAGAAAGCCACGGCUAACUACGUG